UCAAAGAUGGCCACUUCUCAACUAGUGCAAAAUUGACAGAUGAUUUGCAGGAUAAGGAUUAGCUAUGUUCCUUGGAGCUGUUCAUAGUACUGUUGUGAAGUGCAAAAGGAGAAAGAAGUGAGGAAAUGGGAUGAAAGAGGAAAAAGAAAUAAAUUCAAUUAUGGACAAAAUUGAAAAAGGACAAUUUCCAGAUAGUUUCCCCAUCCUUGAAUGGAAGAAAAAGGUUCUAUCUUCUGAAAGUGACAAGAAAUGCAAUCAGAAAUGGACAUGGGAAGGCAAAAGAUAAGCAAAUUUCAUAUCUUUUGCCCCACCUAAUCCCUUUGCCCAUCAAGGCAAAACAGCUGCAUACUAAUCUGUUUUGAAAUCUUUCAGGAAUGAGAAACUUCCCAGAAUUUAGGCUUCUGGUUCCAAAUGCAAUGAUCUAUCGCGCUUUUUUGGCACACAACAAAGCAGCUAAACUUGUAUACAGUAACAACAAUGGAGUAACCUGUAAUAUCUUCCUCCAUUCCCUUCAUCUGGGUGAUCCGAGGCUGAAAACCAAAGCAUCGGGCUCGAAUAUAGAUAAUAUAUACACAUUAUAUAGGCGACUUUUAUUGUUUACACUAAAUUGACGGGAGACUGUGACCUUGGCUCCCCUUGGCUCUUGGAUUUUUGAAUUUUGGUGGCAACCUCGGAGAUGACUAACCUAGUUAGAAGCAAACCGGCAAUCAGGGCUGCUCCCAUUAACAUUGUGAAAACAGCGCCCCAGCUCUUAGCAGAAAUGUAGCCGGUUAGCAGAGGGCCAAUGGCAGCCCCAAUGGAGCCAGUUCCAUCGAUAAUUGCAGUGACUGUUGCCAGUGCUCUCGAGUUGCCUUUCAACGAGCUGUGUGUUCCCAGGUCUGCUGAAACCGCGGUGGUUAUCAGCGCGUAAGGUCCAUUCACAAACGCGCCAGUGAUCAACAUGAGGAUGAUGUUGACGGGCAUGGAGACGUGGCCAUAGUUUCUGUAGAAGAAGAGAGCUGGAAUAGCGCAGUACAUGAAACUUGCAGCCGUCAUGGCUCUGGCAUCCAGGCGAUCAGAAAUGUAGCCCGCUAGGAUCCCUCCAACCACCCCGCCAACAUCAAACAUCGUGGAUAAGUUCCCUGAUUCCUCGUUCGAUAAGUAUCUUCCAUCUAUAGCUGCAGCAUCACAAGAAAUGGUGAGUUAAGACUUACGAAAAUGCUUUUUUUUGGUUGAGGAUAAAACAAAGCAGAAUUUCAAUAACUGUUUUUUUUUUUUUUGAGUACUACUGACUCUGUUACAAUGUAGUAUUGUUUCAAUAACUGUUGAUAUACCUGUGUGGCUAAUGUAGAAAGGAAGCCAAUAGAGGAAUGUAUAGGCCACCAAUUUGGCAAAGAAAAGGCAAAGGGCGAAAGGCGCAACCCCAGGCGAGAGAUCGUCAUCUUCUUCGUCAUUACCAGCGCCAACAGACUCGGGAUCGACUGGCAACAAAAGGAAAACGACCAAGCCAAUGAAGGCGAUAGACAGACCGGGAACAACCAAGGACCAACCCCAUCCAAACUUCAACAAGCCCGAUGCAAUUAAGGAACCGGUAAUGUUGCCAAGAGAUGUGUGAGAAUUCCAUAUUCCCAUUAUAAGUCCCCUCUUCUUCUUCCCGAACCAAUUCCCCACAACCGCAACCACAGAAGGCCAGCCGGUGGAUUGGAACAAACCGGCAAGCAUUUGGACAAUCAAAUAGUAAUAGAAAACAUGGAUAUUUGCCCAAUACCCAACCCCAAAAAGGGCUGUGAACAAACCAGUUCCCACCAUUCCCACUGUCAAGAAAACCCUAAGAUCCAUUCUAUCACCUAUAUGCCCCGAGAAAUACAUCCCUAACGCAUACACAAACAGGAAAGCCACAUCGAGUUCCCCAAGCAAUUCUGUGCCAUUAGGACCAUCAAACGGAUACCAGCCACUCCCAAGCACCCAUGAUCCUCCCAAGUUCUGCCGAGAAUUCUGAGCAUAACCCCUCAGCCACGACGAUUUUAACUCAACUUCAGUCGACUGUGGAUCAAGCGCACUUUUCACAAUGCUCGUUGUUUUCCUAGUAGCAUGAUACGCCCCGUAUGCAAAAAACGUUACAAUUAGAACUAUGGCUUGAUACGUCUUGUAUGAGAAGGCCGUCUUCUUUGUGCCCUCUAAGAACUGUAUUCCUGGAGGCUUCUUGUAGUUUGUCUCCUCAAUUGGCUCUGGAAGAGACCCCAUUAAUGGAUAUCAACUCAAAUCUGAUUACCAGGAAGAGCACCCAAAAUCCCCUCUACUAUGAGUCCAAGAAUGAUAAAUACUGAGACAAGAUACAAGAAGACAGUACAAUCAGACAGGAUCAACUGAAUGGGAUUAUCAGACAAAUAUGUUGAUAAUGGCAAUACUAAGAGAUGUAACAAUAAUCUUAACAUAAUGCCAUCAUUUGAAACAUGAACAAAUAUGUAUCUAAAUCAGCAAACAUUGAACACAUUUCUCUGA